AAAAUUCUAUUAAAUUUCAUGGGUUUAAAAAUAAAAUCUUCAUCAUUCCCACAAUUCAAUCAAAUUCCAUAGGUUUAAUAACAGUAUUUUCAUCAUCACUCAAUUCAAUCAAAUUUUAAUGGUUUUAAGAGCAACAAUUUCACCAUUCCCACAAUUCAAUCAAAUAUCAUGGGUUUAACAGUAACAUUUUCAACAGCAAAAUUUCAAAAGCAAAAUGUUCAUGGGUUAAACAACAACAUUUUCAUCAUUCAGACAAUUCAAUCAAAUUUCAUGGGUUUAACAAUAAAAUCAUCAUCAUUCACACAAUUCAAUCAAAUUUCAUGGGUUUAACAACAACAUUUUCAUAAUUCACAAAAUUCAUUCAAAUAUCAUGGAUUUAAUAGCAACAUUUUCAUCAUUCCCUCAAUUCAAUCAAAUAUCAUGGGUUUAACAAUAACAUUUUCAUCAU
rnacentral:lncRNA from 1 species